CGUGUGGUGUCCGGCUUAGAAUCGGAUGGCGACACGGCCUAAAUUAUUGAGGU
rfam:Vibrio variabilis DNA, contig: contig00003, strain: JCM 19239.